rnacentral:rRNA from 1 species
CCUACGGGAGGCAGCAGUCGAGAGGCUUUGGCAAUGGGGGAAACCCUGACCAAGCGACGCCGCGUGGAGGAUGAAGGCCUUCGGGUUGUAAACUCCUUUUGCUAGGGAAGAAGUGCGAUCAGGUGAACAAUCUGGUCGUUUGACGGUACCUGGCGAAUAAGCUCCGGCUAACUCCGUGCCAGCAGCCGCGGUAACACGGGGGGAGCAAGCGUUGUUCGGAAUCACUGGGCGUAAAGGGCGUGUAGGCGGUCAAGUAAGUGGGAUGUGAAAUCCCUCGGCUCACCCGAGGACCUGCAUCCCAAACUGCUUGGCUUGAGUAUGGGAGAGGAUGAGGGAAUUCCUGGUGUAGCGGUGAAAUGCGUAGAUAUCAGGAGGAACACCGGUGGCGAAGGCGCUCAUCUGGCCCAAUACUGACGCUGAGGCGCGAAAGCUAGGGGAGCAAACGGGAUUAGAUACCCCGGUAGUCCUAGCCGUAAACGGUGAUCACUAGGUGUUGGAGGCAUCGACCCCUCCAGUGCCGCAGCUAACGCAUUAAGUGAUCCGCCUGGGGAGUACGGCCGCAAGGUUGAAACUCAAAGGAAUUGACGG